rnacentral:rRNA from 1 species
UAGUCCACGCCGUAAACGAUGGUCACUAGUUGUUGGGGCUUUAUGCCUCAGUGAUUAAGAGAAAUUGAUAAGUGACCCACCUGGGGAGUACGAUCGCAAGAUUGAAACUCAAAGGAAUUGACGGGGGCCCGCACAAGCGGUGGAGCAUGUGGUUUAAUUCGAUGAUACGCGAGGAACCUUACCAGGGCUUAAAUGUAGAGUGACAGAUCUAGAGAUAGAUUUUUCUUCGGACACUCUACAAGGUGCUGCAUGGUUGUCGUCAGCUCGUACCGUGAGGUGUCAGGUUAAGUCCUAUAACGAGCGCAACCCCUGUUGUUAGUUGCCAGCAUGUAAAGAUGGGAACUCUAACAAGACUGCCGGUGCAAACCGUGAGGGAAGGUGGGGAUGACGUCAAAUCAUCACGGCCCUUACGUCCUGGGGCUACACACGUGCUACAAUGGUAGGUACAGAGAGCAGCCAUGUCGC